AUCCGGGUUGCGGACAGUGUCUGGUGGGUAGUUUGACUGGGGCGGUCUCCUCCUAAAGAGUAACGGAGGAGCACGAAGGUUGGCUAAUCCUGGUCGGACAUCAGGAGGUUAGUGCAAUGGCAUAAGCCAGCUUGACUGCGAGCGUGACGGCGCGAGCAGGUGCGAAAGCAGGUCAUAGUGAUCCGGUGGUUCUGAAUGGAAGGGCCAUCGCUCAACGGAUAAAAGGUACUCCGGGGAUAACAGGCUGAUACCGCCCAAGAGUUCAUAUCGACGGCGGUGUUUGGCACCUCGAUGUCGGCUCAUCACAUCCUGGGGCUGAAGUAGGUCCCAAGGGUAUGGCUGUUCGCCAUUUAAAGUGGUACGCGAGCUGGGUUUAGAACGUCGUGAGACAGUUCGGUCCCUAUCUGCCGUGGGCGCUGGAGAAUUGAGGGGGGCUGCUCCUAGUACGAGAGGACCGGAGUGGACGCAUCACUGGUGUUCGGGUUGUCAUGCCA
rnacentral:rRNA from 1 species